UUAAAUUGAAGAGUUUGAUCAUGGCUCAGAUUGAACGCUGGCGGCAGGCCUAACACAUGCAAGUCGAACGGUAACAGGAAUCAGCUUGCUGAUUCGCUGACGAGUGGCGGACGGGUGAGUAAUGUCUGGGAAACUGCCUGAUGGAGGGGGAUAACUACUGGAAACGGUAGCUAAUACCGCAUAACGUCGCAAGACCAAAGAGGGGGACCUUCGGGCCUCUUGCCAU
rnacentral:rRNA from 1 species